rnacentral:rRNA from 1 species
GACGAACGCUGGCGGCGUGCCUAAUACAUGCAAGUAGAACGCACAGUUUAUACCGUAGCUUGCUACACCAUAGACUGUGAGUUGCGAACGGGUGAGUAACGCGUAGGUAACCUGCCUGGUAGCGGGGGAUAACUAUUGGAAACGAUAGCUAAUACCGCAUAAUAUUGAUUAUUGCAUGAUAAUUGAUUGAAAGAUGCUAUUGCAUCACUACCAGAUGGACCUGCGUUGUAUUAGCUAGUAGGUGAGGUAACGGCUCACCUAGGCGACGAUACAUAGCCGACCUGAGAGGGGGAUCGGCCACACUGGGACUGGGACACGGCCCAGACUCCUACGGGAGGCAGCAGUAGGGAAUCUUCGGCAAUGGACGAAAGUCUGACCGAGCAACGCCGCGUGAGUGAAGAAGGUUUUCGGAUCGUAAAGCUCUGUUGUAAGAGAAGAACGGGUGUGAGAGUGGAAAGUUCACACUGUGACGGUAUCUUACCAGAAAGGGACGGCUAACUACGUG